GCUUGCACCGAGAUUCAACAUGGAACGAGUGGCGGACGGGUGAGUAACACGUGGGUAACCUGCCCUUAAGUGGGGGAUAACAUUUGGAAACAGAUGCUAAUACCGCAUAGAUCCAAGAACCGCAUGGUUCUUGGCUGAAAGAUGGCGUAAGCUAUCGCUUUUGGAUGGACCCGCGGCGUAUUAGCUAGUUGGUGAGGUAAUGGCUCACCAAGGCGAUGAUACGUAGCCGAACUGAGAGGUUGAUCGGCCACAUUGGGACUGAGACACGGCCCAAACUCCUACGGGAGGCAGCAGUAGGGAAUCUUCCACAAUGGACGCAAGUCUGAUGGAGCAACGCCGCGUGAGUGAAGAAGGCUUUCGGGUCGUAAAACUCUGUUGUUGGAGAAGAAUGGUCGGCAGAGUAACUGUUGUCGGCGUGACGGUAUCCAACCAGAAAGCCACGGCUAACUACGUGCCAGCAGCCGCGGUAAUACGUAGGUGGCAAGCGUUAUCCGGAUUUAUUGGGCGUAAAGCGAGCGCAGGCGGUUUUUUAAGUCUGAUGUGAAAGCCCUCGGCUUAACCGAGGAAGCGCAUCGGAAACUGGGAAACUUGAGUGCAGAAGAGGACAGUGGAACUCCAUGUGUAGCGGUGAAAUGCGUAGAUAUAUGGAAGAACACCAGUGGCGAAGGCGGCUGUCUGGUCUGUAACUGACGCUGAGGCUCGAAAGCAUGGGUAGCGAACAGGAUUAGAUACCCUGGUAGUCCAU
rnacentral:rRNA from 1 species